rnacentral:rRNA from 1 species
GUCUACGGCCAAGCCACCCUGAACGUGCCCGAUCCCAUCUGAUCUCAGAAGCUAAGCAGGGUCAGGCCUGGUUAGUACAUGGAUGGAAGACCACCUAGGAAGACCAGGUGCUAUAGGCG